AAGAAUACAGAGGUUUAAGGGGAAUUAUCUCCAUUAGACCGGAUAAUAUCAUGUGACAGAAUAUGAAUGGAGCUAAACUUGCUUGUGUAAAGGUGCUCUAGAACCGUCUGCUAUUUUAUGCAGGACUCUCAUGGUCUAAUAGCACUUUUUUGCCGCCACUGCCUCCCAAAAUAAACCUACCUCUGUGGUUGACAGAAUAAAAACAAAUGUAAUAGAAGUCAGGGGUUCAUUUCUGCCUUCACCGAAGUAUGUGGUACAAACAACAAAUAGGGCUAUGGGUAUGAGUCACAGGACUGAGCUGGUAUCUCAUCUCUCUUUCUCAGGCUUACAUGCCUUAAUGCUGACUUGCAAAAUAUUCAUGCCCUUGGGUCCUGUCCAAGGAUUCAAGAGCAUCAAUAUCUGGCCUUUGACUGGGCCAUUCUAAUACACAAAUAUGCUUUGAUCUAAAUUUUCUCAUUAUAGUUUUGGCUGCAGGUAUAGGUCGUCCUACUGGAAAGUGAAGUUCUGCCCCAGUGUGAAGUGUUUUGCAGCAUCUAACAGGUUUUCUUCCUGGACUACUUCCACCCCCAAGCACACUGAUGAACUUACCUUGCAUUUGGUUGUGGUGCGAAUUUUGAAAACCGUUCCCCAUGGGUGGUGGAGGUAGUGGAGCCCCUCCAGGCCCUGGCCUAUCUGGUGGCAGGGGAGGUCUACCACCAGGCCCGCCACGAGGAGGCUCCGGGCCUGGCCGACCCACAGGAGACGCUGCAGGCGAUGACCUGAUGCUGCCUCCGCCCGCGUUGCGACCUGAUGGAGGAGGUGGAGGAAGAGGACCUUUGGAGAAAGUGAUCCAUUGUUCAUGUAAUCAGUGAAGACUGGUUGGUUACCUGUACGUGGUGAAGACUGGUUUCUUCCAACCGAUGGAGGCCUCUCAUUAGGAGGAGGAGGCAGGGGUCCUGAUCGACCAGGAGGGGGUGCUGGAGCGUGGCUGGAGAAGAUAAACACAAAAUUUCAAUCUUUAUAUCAAUUAGAAAUAAACAUCUAAAACAGAGGACCAAAACGUAAAUAUAUAUCAAUCUUCCCCAUAGCUUCUGGGCUGAUUUUUUAGGAAAAAAUUGUAAUCUUGAUUACUUUAACCAGUCAUUGAAAUCAAGAUAAUUUAACUGAUUAUUCACUGAGUCUGGAAAAACAAAGUAUUUAAAACACUUUAAGUCUGCAAACUUUUGACAUUUCCUAAUACCUUCAUGUUAAAUGUUCCCUUAAAACAGCAACGUAUUUAUCCAAAUGUAUGAUAUUACUGCAUGUAAAAAAUGAACUAUUGAAAUGAUUAUUGUGCUUUAGGUCUUAUGCACCACAUCCUGCACCCUCUGCAGCUAAGAAAAAAAUAAAUCCCAGCUUACUGAGAA